GGAUUGGGAGGGUUCUACGGAACCCGUUUGGUGAAUCUAGUGCCGAGAAAAGCCUUCUAUGUGUUGAAUUUCUAGUACCCGUACCCCAAACCGACACAGGUGGGUGGGUAGAGCAUACCUAGGGGCGCGUGAUAACUCUCUCUAAGGAACUCGGCAAAAUGGCCCUGUAACUUCGGGAUAAGGGGUGCCUGCGUGAGCAGGCCGCAGUGAAAUGGCUCUGGCGACUGUUUACCAAAAACACAGGUCUCUGCUAAGUCGUAAGACGAUGUAUAGGGGCUGACUCCUGCCCAGUGCCGGAAGGUUAAGGAAGUUGGUUAGCGCAAGCGAAGCUGGCGACCGAAGCCCCGGUGAACGGCGGCCGUAACGAUAACGGUCCUAAGGUAGCGAAAUUCCUUGUCGGGUAAGUUCCGACCCGCACGAAAGGAGUAACGAUCAGAGCGCUGUCUCGGAGAGAGACACGGCGAAAUAGGAUUGUCCGUGAAGAUACGGACUACCUGCACCCGGACAGAAAGACCCUAUGAAGCUUUACUGUAACUUGGAAUUGCGUUCGGACUUUGUCUGCGCAGAAUAGGUGGGAGGCUAUGAAACGUUCCUCGCGGGGAACUGGAGCCAUCGUUGAGAUACCACUCUGGCAGAGUCUGGAUUCUAACCUACGGGGACAGUUCCAGGUGGGCAGUUUGACUGGGGCGGUCGCCUCCUAAAAUGUAACGGAGGCGCGCAAAGGUUCCCUCAGGCUGGUUGGAAAUCAGCCAUAGAGUGUAAAAGCAUAAGGGAGCUUGACUGUGAGACCUACAAGUCGAGCAGGGACGAAAGUCGGCUUUAGUGAUCCGACGGCACUGAGUGGAAGGGCCGUCGCUCAACGGAUAAAAUUUACUCUAGGAUAACAGGCUGAUCUCCCCCAAGAGUUCACAUCGACGGGGAGGUUUGGCACCUCGAUAUCGGCUCGUCGCAACCUGGGGCGGUAGUACGUCCCAAGGGUUGGGCUGUUCGCCCAUUAAAGCGGCACGUGAGCUGGGUUCAGAACGUCGUGAGACAGUUCGGUCCAUAUCCGGUGUAGGCGUAGGAGCAUUGAAAGGAUCUCUCCUUAGUACGAGAGGACCGGGAGGGACGUACCUCUGGUGUACCUGUUAUCGUGCCAACGGUAAACGCAGGGUAGCCAUGUACGGAGUGGAUAACCGCUGAAAGCAUCUAAGUGGGAAGCCCACCUUAAGAUGAGUGCUCCCUUGAGGCCACGGGAAGACGACCCGUUUGAUAGGCGCUAGGUGGAAGUGCAGUAAUGCAUGCGGCCGAGGCGUACUAAUAGGCCGAUGGC
rnacentral:rRNA from 1 species